rnacentral:rRNA from 1 species
UAGGGAAUCUUCCACAAUGGACGCAAGUCUGAUGGAGCAACGCCGCGUGAGUGAAGAAGGCUUUCGGGUCGUAAAACUCUGUUAUUGAAGAAGAACGUGUGUGACAGUAACUGGUCAUGCAGUGACGGUAUUCAAUCAGAAAGUCACGGCUAACUACGUGCCAGCAGCCGCGGUAAUACGUAGGUGGCAAGCGUUGUCCGGAUUUAUUGGGCGUAAAGCGAGUGCAGGCGGUCUUUUAAGUCUGAUGUGAAAGCCUUCGGCUUAACCGAAGAAGGGCAUCGGAAACUGGGAGACUUGAGUGCAGAAGAGGAGAGUGGAACUCCAUGUGUAGCGGUGAAAUGCGUAGAUAUAUGGAAGAACACCAGUGGCGAAGGCGGCUCUCUGGUCUGUAACUGACGCUGAGGCUCGAAAGCGUGGGUAGCAAACAGGAUUAGAUACCCUGGUAGUCCACGCCGUAAACCGAUGAAUACUAAGUGUUG